rnacentral:misc_RNA from 1 species
GAUGAAGAACGUAGCGAAAUGCGAUACUUGGUGUGAAUUGCAGAAUCCCGUGAACCAUCGAGUCUUUGAACGCAAGUUGCGCCUCAAGCCAUUAGGUUGAGGGCACGUCUGCCUGGGCGUCACAUAUCGUUGCCUGAUGCCAGUUUCCUCGUGAUGGGUAACUGUGCAGGGCGAAUGAUGGCUUCCCGUGAGCAUUGUUGCCUCAUGGUUGGUUGAAAAUUGAGUCCUUGGUAGGGAGCGCCGUGAUAGAUGGUGGUUGAGUGACGAACGAGACCCAAUCAUGUGAGACCCCUACCGAAUUUGGCCUUCAUGACCCACAUGCGUCUUUGGAACGCUCAUGACGAGACCUCAGGUCAGGCGGGGCUACCCGCUGAGUUUAAGCAUAUCAAUAAGCGGAGGA